ACUGUGCCCUGGAUGUGAGACGUGGAAUCAAGGAGAUUAUUUUGGAGCUUUAAGACGUAAUGGCACCCUGCUGGGUUUCAGACUUGAGUGGAGCCUGCAGCCUUUCUUUCGGCCGGUUUCUCCCUUUUGGAACGGGAGUAUUUACCCAAUGCCUGUACCCCCAUGGCCACUUCCAGCAUCGAUGGUGUCAGGUCAGGUCCUCUGGGUAGAAGAAAUGGAGUCAGUUAGGAGUGCUGGAGACUGAGUAAGAGGUGGCAGCUGAGGCUUACUACCCCAGGAAAGGGAUGCCACCAGAGAAGGCAGACAACCAAGAUGGCGACUCUCAAUUUUUGAGCUCCUAAUUUUCUCAUGUCAGACAUAAGAAAAAAAAAUAUUUUUUAAAGAAAAAGCUUUAGGUUGCAAAAAUCUAGGCCUUUCAACUUUAAAAUCCUAUUCUUGCAAGCCUUGGAGAAUAAAGCUUAUGCAUAAACAGUAGAUUUGGAAACAGA
rnacentral:lncRNA from 1 species